UACAGCUUAGCAAGUUUAGCUUUGAAUGUGUUUUCUUCUGACACAUUCUAUUUACGCUUUCUCAUCUAUUAUUUAUUCUACAAUAGUUAAUUUGCAUCAGGGCUGGAGAUUGAGUUCAGUGGUAGAAGACUUGCCCAUCUUGGCAAGCUCUGGGUUCAACUCCUAACUUUAUAGAACUCCAAACCAAAGCAAAACACAGAAGAAAACCAAUCAACAAACAAAAAAAUAUAGUCAGGUCUGUUUUCACAUACAAGUAAUUCCAACCCUUAAGAGGCUGUUGAGGAGCCUUGCAAGUAAGACAGGCAGGCUACAUUGGCUAUAUAGCUGCAUGACAAGCCUGAGCUACAAAUGAGACCUUGUCUCAGAAGAAAAGCAAAAGACUGAAGAGAAAGCACUUCAGUAGAGCACUUGGUCAGGAUGUACAAGGCUCUAGCUUCAGUCUUCAGUAAUACAAAAAAGAAAAAAAGAAAGAAAUUUCAUUUGAAUGUGUUACUUUCUUUUCUUCUGGCUCACUGUCUGAAAUUUUUGAUCAAGGGGGGAAUAUAUAUAGUAUGUGUAUAAUUGUAUUUAUAGUCUUUUCCUUUUGUCUCAAUAUUUCCCAAAUAAUGUUUUUAGUUAAUGAAUAUUUAUUGAAUGAAAAGUGGAACAACACAAAAUUCUUAAAGGUGUUUUGGCUUUAAUCUGUUCUCUUGACUUUUCAGUUUAUGGAUUUUUAUUCACUAAUUCAUUUAAAUGCUCAUUUAUAGACCACUUGUUGAAAAACUCUCGGUAUGAAAUGUUCUCACAUCAUUUACUUUAGGUUGUAUGGGACUGAAAUUAUUGAGCAUUAAGUAGACAUUGAUUUGAAUUCUGUAAGAAAGAAAAAUUAUCAUAAUUAUGACUCAUUUCUGAAAAUAAAUUUUUACUAGCCUUACGAUUUGUCACUCAAAGAUUUGAAUAAUGCUACACUGGGAACUUUCAAACUCAGGAAUUAAGCAUCCACAGGUUUCCCCCUAAGAAGGCAUGAACUUUGUUCUUGAAUGAGUGAAGAAUAAUGGGUUUAUCUGGUAAUAUAUUUUAUUUAGAUUAGGGAUAUAGAACUGCAAUACUUAUUGCUGCUGGUGUUGUUGUUGAGCAGAGUACAUUUUCAUUUAGUUACUUAUAUUUAAAUAAGCUGAGUCCUGACUUGUUGCUGCUUUCAUAAGAAACCCCACACUCUUGGAGGAAAUAUUCUUCACAGGGGCUGUGGCUCAGUGGCAGAAAAGCUUACUGUAUAAUGCUUACUAUACAAGCCCUGACAGGAUAUGCCCAGCACCCACGUGAAGCCUGAUAUGGUACCUCACAUCUCUAUUGCCCUGGCCUGCAUUACUUAAACAACAGGGUUCUUGAGGGAAGGGGGCUACAAUGACAAAUUUUGGGAUCAGAAAACAUGAAGGAAGGAGGCAAGACAAAAGUUUAGUUCAAGCCUUGUUUAUUCAAGGAAAAUGGGGGGCUUUUAAAGCUGAAAACUGCGAGCAGAAUUUGCUCAGGUACACAGACCAAACUGGUAGUGCUAGCUAACACGUUAAGGUCAAAGGAAUGCCCCCAUUGUAGAAAGGUCCUGAAAGGAGUGCCCUCAUUAUAAAAUGAAAGCAAUGCCCUCAUUGUGAAAUGCAGGAGUCAAUUACAGAACAGAAGCAAGAUAGUGGAAGAAGCAAAAGAAUGUUAGAUAAGGGCCCUGGGACAGGAUUCCAGGGGCUUCCGGGCCCCAACACUGUAUAUCCAGAACACCUUCAGCAACAUGGAAGGCAGUCAGGAGAAUCCCCCAAGGUCCUGGGCCAGAUAGCAUGGAUUAUGUAAUGGAGAGAAAUCCAGACCCUGCCUCAAAGAAUGUGGAAGGAGACUUCCUCAGGUCCUUCCCACCCCACGCGGUUGUUGGCGCCAGACUCAAACAGGGAGGCUGCCUCGCGCAGCAUGUCAAAGAAAAGAGGACUGAGUGGGGAGGAAAAGAGAACCCGGAUGAUGGAGAUAUUUUUUGAGACAAAAGAUGUAUUCCAGCUGAAAGACCUGGAGAAGCUUGCUCCCAAAGAGAAAGGCAUAACCGCCAUGUCAGUGAAGGAUGCCUAGUGGAUGACGGUAUGGUUGACUGCGAGAGGAUCGGGACGUCCAAUUACUACUGGGCUUUUCCGAGCAAGGCUCUUCAUGCCAGGAAGCACAAGUUGGAGGCUCUGAACUCUCAGCUGUCAGAGGGAAGCCAGAAGCAUGCAGACUUACAGAAGAGCAUUGAGAAAGCAAGAGUUGGCCGGCAAGAGACGCAAGAACGAACCAUGUUUGCAAAAGAACUUUCUUCAUUUCGAGACUAAAGGCAACAACUUAAGGCAGAAGUGGAAAAAUAUCGAGAAUGUGACCCACAGGUUGUGGAAGAGAUUCGUGAAGCAAAUAAAGUAGCUAAAGAAGCCGCCAAUCGAUGGACUGAUAACAUAUUUGCAAUAAAAUCCUGGGCCAAAAGAAAAUUUGGGUUUGAAGAAAGUAAAAUUGAUAAAAACUUUGGAAUUCCAGAAGACUUUGACUACAUAGACUAAAAUGUUGGUGCUGUACAAGGAUCUGGGAGCUUGUGAAUAUGUCAAGGUUUAAACAGCUAACUAAUGUUACCCAGUUAUCAUCUAUCUGCUAAUUGUUUAUCAUUUUGUAGCUUUAAAUAAAGUAUACAAUAAGGAAAAAAAAAAGAAGGUGGAAGGAAAGGACUCACAGCAGAGAUAUUCCUCUGAUUGUCACAUGUGCCAUGCUUUGAACACAUCUGCACUUACAUUACAUGU